UACGAAGGGGGCUAGCGUUGCUCGGAAUCACUGGGCGUAAAGGGUGCGUAGGCGGGUCUUUAAGUCAGGGGGGAAAUCCUGGAGCUCAACUCCAGAACUGCCUUUGAUACUGAAGAUCUUGAGUUCGGGAGAGGUGAGUGGAACUGCGAGUGUAGAGGUGAAAUUCGUAGAUAUUCGCAAGAACACCAGUGGCGAAGGCGGCUCACUGGCCCGAUACUGACGCUGAGGCACGAAAGCGCGGGGAGCGAACGGG
rnacentral:rRNA from 1 species